rnacentral:lncRNA from 1 species
ACCUAAUUCCCACAACUCACUGGGGUUAUAAGCAUAAUAAGAGGCGUGUUCCACCACUGUGGACGGGGUCCCUGGGCUUUCCCCUAGGGUCCCAUCAGCUGCUUAUGUUCUACCUUCUGACGGAUCACAGGAGGAGCCUGCAGCGGAGGAGCCUCCUCCUCCUCAGCAUCAGACCUAAAGGGAGUGUCCUGCCUGAAGGACCGGCUCAAGGUCGCACUAACAGCUCUUGCUAACUCCUGUUCCAGGCUGUUUAUCUGGGCCUCCAAGUACCCUGCUUGCGCCUGGAGGUCUCUCACCCCCAGGUCCUGCUCAAAGCUGUGCACUUGGGCCCCCAGGCAUGCGGCUUGCUCCGGAAGGUCCCUUACCUGUGGCACUGAGCAUGUACUUCCUGCAGUGCAGUUAGAAAUGCCCAUCCGACUCUGCUUGCAAAGUGCAGAGAGGGAGACACCCUUACAAAUGGAGAUUUGCUGGAUAGAAAUGUGGCCAAAGAGUUCAAUAAAAGGGCACAGCUGCUUAAAGACUGUUACCGGAAAGGAAUCCUGAUCCAGACGCCAAGAGAGGGUUCUUGGACUCAUGCAAGAAAGACUUCAGACAAGUACAGACAAUCACCAGGAACUAAGGAACAAGAAGCAUCCAACCCUGCAUCUGUGGGUUUCCUGAGGUGACUCUCAAUUGUCAUAGGGGUGAAGAGUGAGUGAGGAAACCCUUGGAGCACUUGUUUGCUUCACAGACAUCCUGACCUCCUUUCAACUGUAAAGACUUAGUCAGAGGACGGCGGCUCCCUCAGCCUCAUUCUGCAGUUCCAAUGACACUUUUUACAAAGGCUCUGUACUUGUCUGAUUCUUAAAUAUUCCAGUUUUUGAACUUU